CCCUUAGAUGCUCUGGGCCGCACGCGCGCUACACUGGUCGAUGCAACGAGUUUCUUUCCUUGGCCGACAGGCCUGGGCAAUCUUUGAACAUCGAUCGUGAUCGGGAUAGAUUCUUGUAAUUUUUGAUCUUAAACGAGGAAUUCCUAGUAAACGCAAGUCAUCAGCUUGCAUUGAUUACGUCCCUGCCCUUUGUACACCCCGCCCGUCGCACCUACCGAUUGAAUGGUCCGGUGAAAUCUCCGGACUGGCGUGAGUCGGAGCAAUCUGACAAACGCCGGAAAGUUGAUUAAACCUUACCAUUUAGAGGAAGGUGAAGUCGUAACA
rnacentral:rRNA from 1 species